rnacentral:rRNA from 1 species
GAGGAAUAAGCAUCGGCUAACUCCGUGCCAGCAGCCGCGGUAAUACGGGGGAUGCAAGCGUUAUCCGGAAUCAUUGGGCGUAAAGCGCCUGUAGGUUGUUUAAUAAGUCUGUUGUUAAAGACUAGGGCUUAACCCUAGAAAAGCAAUGGAUACUACUAGACUAGAGUAUGGCAGGGGUAGAGGGAAUUUCUAGUGUAGCGGUGAAAUGCGUAGAUAUUAGAAAGAACACCGGUGGCGAAAGCGCUCUACUGGACCAUUACUGACACUCAGAGGCGAAAGCUAGGGUAGCAAAAGGGAUUAGAUACCCCUGUAGUCCUAGCCGUAAACGAUGGAUACUACAUGUUGUAUUUAUUUUACAGUAUGGUAGCUAACGCGUUAAGUAUCCCGCCUGGGGAGUACGCUCGCAAGGGUGAAACUCAAAGGAAUUGACGGGGGCCCGCACAAGCGGUGGAGCAUGUGGUUUAAUUCGAUGCAACGCGAAGAACCUUACCAGGGCUUGACAUACUGCGAAUCUCUUUGAAAAAAGAGAGUGCCUUCGGGAAUGCAGAUACAGGUGGUGCAUGGCUGUCGUCAGCUCGUGUCGUGAGAUGUUGGGUUAAGUCCCGCAACGAGCGCAACCCUUAUUUUUAGUUACCAAUUCGUUGGGUUUUCUAGAAAGACUGCCGGUGACAAACCGGAGGAAGGUGAGGAUGACGUCAAGUCAGCAUGCCCCUUAUGUCCUGGGCUACACACGUGCUACAAUGGCUAAGACAAAGAGUCGCGAAUUCGCGAGAAUCAGCUAAUCUCAUAAACUUAGUCUAAGUUCAGAUUGUAGGCUGCAACUCGCCUACAUGAAG